rnacentral:misc_RNA from 1 species
GCAAACUUGGUCAUUUAGAGGAAGUAAAAGUCGUAACAAGGUUUCCGUAGGUGAACCUGCGGAAGGAUCAUUAUCAAUAUACCAUCUAUAAGAUGACCCUACCUUGUGUGCAUCUGUAAACUGGCCUUGCGGAAAGGAGUGGUCUGGCGCUUGCCGGCCUUUUUUUUUUUCCCAAGGCCUUUUCUUACACACGUCUAUGAACCAAAUAAAAAAAAUUUUUUUUAAAACCAAAUACAACUUUCAACAACGGAUCUCUUGGCUCUCGCAUCGAUGAAGAACGCAGC